GCACGAUUAGAAUUGUGAUUUGAAGGCCAAAAAGGGAUCAAGGCAACAGUAGGAUUGGUCAACUACAUGUGAAGUACACUACUAUUUUCAUGUUGCUAUGCCAUUUAACAGAGGCAUCACAAUUGAACCAUUUACGCCACACAGCGUAGAUAGAUUUUUAUGUACAAUUACAAGAUCUUGUGCGUAAAGCAAAAAGGAUAUCUUGAACCGCGAAAAGUAAAUUAAUUUUUGGGCUUCUUUUGUGAGCUCCCCUCUCCUGGUUCAAACUUGCGUUUUAUGCCCAAAAAGUGCUCCACCUUCUUAUCACCAAGCAUAGGGGUCAAACCUCCAGGCAAGUCCUUCUCAACAGUAGCAAAACCACUUCGAGGAUCACUAGUUUGCCCUGGUUUAACAUGUCCGCUAAGAACAAUAUAUGGAGUUCUUGUUUGAGCAUGAGUUUCUCUCAUCCUCUCCACAGACUGUGAUGGAGUAUCUGAAUUUUUCAUCUGUUUUAUCUUCAGCUCCUCCUGGUAUUGCCGCAUACGCUUUUCUUGCUUCAUCUUCCCAGGCCCCUUCCCAUGAAAUUUAUGUGAAAGCAACCGAAAAGCCUCCUUUGGAGUCAGGAUUCGCCCAUACUCAUCAGUCCUUUCUAUGUUUAUUUCCUUUUUCCCGUCCUCGCUACGGAUGCCUACGAGCUUGCUCUUCUUCUUGUCCAUGUUUCGACCACCCCAUUCAAUAUCUUCCUUGAGAGUACCUCGUUCUUGCAAAAGUUUGAGAACCCCUGAUAAACCCUUUCCAACUGGAACUUCACGUAUCGUAUCAUCUGGAGUUACUUCCAUUUCCUCCUCCUUUACAGAUGGCUCCUCUUCCUUGGUUUCCUUCACUUCGGUCCAACCACCAUCCUCACUCUUCAGUUCUUCAUCAGAGGGUUUUGGUAGCACGUCUUCCUCCAUGAAAACAUCAUCGCUACCAGGUUUUUGUUCCUCUUCAUCAAGCUGAAGCCCCCAGACAAACUCUUCCAUCUCUGUGAAGACAACCUUGUUCUCUUGUGCCUCUCCAGAUGCAGAACUUGAAUUAUCCACCAUUGAAUCAUUUGCACGGGAAGCAGCAAGCGAAGCAAUUGACUCUGGAAAGGUUUUGGCAAGGCCCUCUUGCUUUCUCAAUGCAAGUUUUCUGGCUCUUUCUAAGGAUUUUCUAAGCUCCUCAUCAUCAUCAUCAAAUACUGCAUCAUCUUCCUCUCUCUGGUUGUUAUUAGUUUUAUCGGGUCGAAGUGCUUUGGAUGCCUCUUCAGCCUUGGCAUAAGCAGCCUGGUAAGCAUUGCUCCUCGUCUCUGCAUCUGCUCUCUCCUUUUCUUCCUUAAGGACCUGCCUUGUCUUAUCAUUGCGAGAACCAAGAUCACUGACACCCAAUCCAGCAGAUUUGGCCUCCGCUUCAAGGGCAUCUAGAUCCAUCUUCUCUUUCUUCCUCAGUGAUUUUUUCUUCUUGGGCUUCUUAAAUUGAACCAUUUCCUCUUGAGUAUAGUAGUCGGACAAUAAUUUCCCAGAAGAGUUGAGGUCUUCCAUCCGAUUUAUUGAGGAAGGCCCCUGAAUCCUUCUCCGUAGCUCCUCCAGUUUCUUCUCUGCAUCAAGACUGAAACCUCCAGUUGCAUCAAGAAUAACUCCCUCCUCUUCUGCCGGGUCAUCAUACUUUGGUAAUAUUUUCCUUUCAAAACCAGGUUCAUCAUUGAACUUGUCAUCAUAGAUCCCUGUUUUAUUUUUUGCAGCCUUGUAAGCAUCAUCCCUUCGCUUCUGUUCUCCGAUCUCCACAUUUUCAAGCACAUCAACCUCUUGAUUAACAUCAUCACCAGCAAGUAUGCUCUGAUCUUUGAGUGUCAAGACAACAGCCCCACCUUCGACUACUUUGUCAAGCCCAUGGAGUACUUUCAUCCCACCUAGCUCUUUUGCAGCUAGCCGAGCAUUCUCCUCAUCAUCACUUUCUUCUUCAUUCAUCUUGUCCUGCUCUUCAAAAAUCUUCGAAAGCUGUAAGGCUUUCUCCUUCUCAGCAUUCCUUAUCUCCUCAAUCUUUCGGCUCUUGCUAACCCACGCCAACACCUCAGAAGCACCUUCUGAUUUUUUCUUCAACCUCUCUUCCUUCAUCUUCAGAAUGCGUUCCUCCAGCUCCGAAGCGGCAGCAGCAGAUUGUGCUCCACCUGUUUCAACUGCAUUGUUAUGUGACCUCUCCUCAUCUUCAUGAGAAACAACAAUUUCCUGCUUAGCUGCAUAGCGAUAAUCAGAAUCUUCAUCCUUCCGCCUGUCCUUGUCCUUACUCCUAUCAUGACCCUCAUCUCGCUGCCUACGGCUGCUCCUAUCUUUAUCUCUUGACCUCUCCUUAUCAUCCUCAUCCACUUCCUUCCCCUUUUCUUUAGCUCUAUCUCUCCCCUUCUCCUUCUCAGCUCCAUCUCUACUACCUCUUUCCUUUUCCUUUUUCCUAUCUCUUACCUUCUCACUA
rnacentral:misc_RNA from 1 species